GAUGAACGCUGGCGGCGUGCCUAAUACAUGCAAGUCGAGCGAACGGAUGAGAAGCUUGCUUCUCUGAUGUUAGCGGCGGACGGGUGAGUAACACGUGGAUAACCUACCUAUAAGACUGGGAUAACUUCGGGAAACCGGGGCUAAUACCGGAUGAUAUUUUGAACCGCAUGGUUCAAAAGUGAAAGACGGUCUUGCUGUCACUUAUAGAUGGAUCCGCGCUGCAUUAGCUAGUUGGUAAGGUAACGGCUUACCAAGGCAACGAUGCAUAGCCGACCUGAGAGGGUGAUCGGCCACACUGGAACUGAGACACGGUCCAGACUCCUACGGGAGGCAGCAGUAGGGAACCUUCCGCAAUGGGCGAAAGCCUGACGGAGCAACGCCGCGUGAGUGAUGAAGGUCUUCGGAUCGUAAAACUCUGUUAUUAGGGAAGAACAUAUGUGUAAGUAACUGUGCACAUCUUGACGGUACCUAAUCAGAAAGCCACGGCUAACUACGUG
rnacentral:rRNA from 1 species